AGCAGCCGCGGUAAUUCCAGCUCCAAUAGCGUAUAUUAAAGUUGUUGCAGUUAAAAAGCUCGUAGUUGAAUUUCGGGGUUAGUAGGUUGGUCAUGCCACUGGUAUGUACUGGUCUCACUGAUUCCCUCCUUCCUGAUGAACUGUAAUGCCAUUUAAUUUGGUGUUGCAGGGAAUCUGGACUGUUACUUUAGAAAAAUUAGAGUGUUUAAAGCAGGCUAACGCCUGAAUACAUUAGCAUGGAAUAAUGAAAUAGGACGUUCGAUCCUAUUUUGUUGGUUUCUAGGAUUGACGUAAUGAUUAAUAGGGAUAGUUGGGGGCAUUAGUAUUCAAUUGUCAGAGGUGAAAUUCUUGGAUUUAUUGAAGACUAACUACUGCGAAAGCAUUUGCCAAGGAUGUUUUCAUUAAUCAAGAACGAAAGUUAGGGGAUCGAAGACGAUCAGAUACCGUCGUAGUCUUAACCAUAAACUAUGCCGACUAGGGAUCGGAUGAUGUUAAUUUUUAAUGACUCAUUCC
rnacentral:rRNA from 1 species